rnacentral:lncRNA from 14 species
CUAUGAUUCUAUGACUAUGUUUGUCCAGCGCAAGCUAAUUUAGAGUAAAUUCAUACAAAAUUAACCUUGUAGUGAAGCUCUUCCUGAGGAUGCCACUUCUGUGUUUUGUGGGAGAAUAGCAAUGGCUAGUUGAAAAGUUGGACUUGGGGCUGCUCAAGAUUAAUUCCCUGCACUGCUACAGGCUCCUUUCCUGACCUGAGAUGUAAUGAAGACUAUAACAAUGGUGAGGAACCUGUAUGUUGUGAUGGUGUCUUUUUGCUGCCCUUAUUCCUCUCUCCUUUUGGCUGGACCAGUCACCCCUGGAAAGAUGCUGCUGAUGAACCCUUGCUUGCCAUGGCUGUGCUGCUCUCUAGGACUUCAAAAUAUCUUCCGG